CUUCUUCCUGUGCUGCUACUGGCCAUCAUUUUCUCCCUUCAUCUCAGCACAAUUCAGGGUCUCUCUUUCCAGGUCAUCUUUCCCACCGACCAGAACGAACGUUCUCAAGCAUCACUUUUUCCAGCGCUCUUUACUGCCAGAGGGAGAGUCUCAAGCAAGCAUCACAAUUAUAGGAGGCAGGGCUCACCUUACCACCAAGCUCCAAGCUCCACUUAUGCUGAGAAAAACCAUACAUGCUGAGCUCCGGUCAGACUUGAUGGCAAAGAACAUGUCUCUCAUUACCACCUCCAUUUCUGGUGAUUGC